AUACACACACACACACACACACAUAUACAUAAUCCUACUUUUGUACCUCCUGUAAUCAAGAGGAAUGACCAACAGUUUCUGCUUUUUGAAUCUUCCAUAGAAUUCUCAAUUCUCCCUCCCCUCCACCAGUUGAAUGUUCCAUCUGCCUCUCCUGGAUCCAUCUUCUUUCACUCUCAGGUUUUACUCCGCUUUUGUCCAUUCCUAUUGAUUACACUCCUCUCACCCCCUCUAUCCAAUUCAAACUUUUAUAAAUUUCAGAGAAGUUAUCAAAUUAAUGAUCUCCCAAAACUCUGAAAUCCUGUACUCUAUUCCAUUUUUGUUCAUUCCAAAAUAUGAUCUUGAUGAAGUCAAUUCAAAGAAAUCACAAGGAGACUUCGUAUCAUUCUAAUAAUAUCAAAGGAAGCAAUUGGGCAAAAUGGAUAAGAGGUGAAGAAACUAAGACAAAGAGAACUUAAAUGCCUUGCCCAGGGUGACACAUUGAAGAUAUGAGAAACAACCAUGAAAAAUAAAAGAACUGUUAAAAGAGAAAUAAUCCAGUAAUUUAGGUAAAGGAGGAAUAUUGUACAAACAGAAUCAAAGAUCAUACCCAUAAUGAAUUCGAAGUGUAUCCAGUAAAAAUUGCACACCAUACUUCUUUCGGAAGGCCCUUCUACUAUCUUUGAUAAUGGUGGAAAUAUAUUGUAUGUGACCUAAAAUAAAAUUUACUAUUAAAAAAUUCA